rnacentral:rRNA from 1 species
UACGGAGGAUCCAAGCGUUAUCCGGAAUUACUGGGCGUAAAGAGUUGCGUAGGUGGCAGAGUAAGCAAGGCAUGAAAUCGUAUGGCUCAACCAUAUAUCCAUGUUUUGAACUACUCAGCUAGAGAGCGAGAGAGGUAGAUGGAAUUCUCAGUGUAGGAGUGAAAUCCGUAGAUAUUGGGAGGAACACCGAUGGCGUAGGCAGUCUACUGGCUCGUUUCUGACACUAAGGCACGAAAGCGUGGGGAGCAAACAGG